AUUGCUUCUAGACCUUUUGGCUAAGAUCAAAUGUAGUAUCUGUUCUUAUCAGUUUAAAAAGUUACUUGGGGGGGGGGGACAGCUGGGUAGCAGCUGGGUGGCUCAGUGGGUUAAGAGCCAGGCCUAGAGAUGGAAAAUCCUAGGUUCAAAAUCUGGCCUGAGACACUUCCUAGCUGUGCGACCCUGGGAAAGUCACUUAACCCUCA
ensembl:snRNA U2 U2 spliceosomal RNA